rnacentral:rRNA from 1 species
UGUCCUACGGGAGGCAGCAGUGGGGAAUAUUGCACAAUGGGGGAAACCCUGAUGCAGCGACGCCGCGUGAGCGAUGAAGUAUUUCGGUAUGUAAAGCUCUAUCAGCAGGGAAGAAAAUGACGGUACCUGACUAAGAAGCCCCGGCUAACUACGUGCCAGCAGCCGCGGUAAUACGUAGGGGGCAAGCGUUAUCCGGAUUUACUGGGUGUAAAGGGAGCGUAGACGGCGGUGCAAGCCAGAUGUGAAAGCCCGGGGCUCAACCCCGGGACUGCAUUUGGAACUGUGCUGCUAGAGUGUCGGAGAGG